rnacentral:lncRNA from 1 species
CACCAAAAAAGCAGUAAAUGAGCACAGACUGCAAAUUUCAACCACGCUUCUCCUAAAGACUGGUAAGUAAUAUUGCUAUUACGGGAUGUUUAAGCAACCCAAGAAUUGAUAUGCUUUAAAAGCAUCCUUUGAAGUUAUCUGAAUUUGUCUAAAUUUAUCUAAAUAUUAUGACAAUGUAGAUAGAUAGAUAGAUAGAUAGAUAGAUUUAAAAACUUAAAAACCAUCAAUAAAUUGAUAAAUUGAAAAGUGAUUGAUAAAAAGUGUCCCUCCUUUUUUUUUCUUAAUAGAUGACCUCAAAGACAGGUGUCACUACUGUGGGGAAGAGGAGCAUGACACAGACCAGAAUUGGAUUCAGUGUGAAAUUUGCAAGCGAUGGUUCCACCAUCUGUGUGUUGGAGGGCCACCAACGGAAGAGGACUUCUGUUGCCUUGCUGUGAUGUAUAGGUUCUAUCCGUUAGUGAAGAGAAAGGAGCGUCCACAUUAGUCCAUAUCUGCGUUGUUCAUAAUGGCCUCCACCAUCUCCCAUUCUCAUCUCUCCGAACCCUCCCCGAGUGAAUCCAACCUGGCUGCAACUACAGACAGAGUUUGCUCUCUCCCUGUUUUGUUCAUUCUCCUUCCAUUGUGUGACAUUGAUUAGUAGUGUUUCUAUAUCUAUAAGUGGUGUGUAUGUCAUUUAUUGUAGUCUUGUAUGAUUCCAUGACUUUUUAUUGUCAUUUAUUUAUUUAUUUUUGCUUUCAAUCCUAUUCAGUUUCAGUUAGUGUACAUCGUCUGUC